rnacentral:lncRNA from 1 species
AGAUGACUCGCAUGUUUCUGCUGGCCCCGGGAAAGGAUGAGCCCCCAUGAAGCCAGAUGAGAGCUGAGUCCCUAUCUUACCUGCAGACCCCGUUUCUGGGGCCAAGGAUGGGACCCAGCGGGGACCUGGAGAGUAACACCAGCACAUGAGAGUCAGGAGGAGCAGGAGCUGAGAUGAGACGAGGAUGCAAAAGUGAACAGAACCUUCAGAUUCCGCUCCGAGGGGACUGCAGAAACUGAUGAGAUCUCUGCCGGACACAGUGAAGCCGGAGGAGGCGUUCAAAGGACUGCAGAGGGAAGACACCCUGAGCCGUGGAGGACACAUAACCUCGC